rnacentral:rRNA from 1 species
AGUGAACGCUGGCGGUAGGCCUAACACAUGCAAGUCGAACGGCAGCACAGUAAGAGCUUGCUCUUACGGGUGGCGAGUGGCGGACGGGUGAGGAAUACAUCGGAAUCUACUUUUUCGUGGGGGAUAACGUAGGGAAACUUACGCUAAUACCUCAUACGACCUACGGGUGAAAGCAGGGGAUCUUCGGACCUUGCGCGAUUGAAUGAGCCGAUGUCGGAUUAGCUAGUUGGCGGGGUAAAGGCCCACCAAGGCGAAGAUCCGUAGCUGGUCUGAGAGGAUGGUCAGCCACACUGGAACUGAAACACGGUCCAGACUCCUACGGGAGGCAGCAGUGGGGAAUAUUGGACAAUGGGCGCAAGCCUGAUCCAGCCAUACCGCGUGAGUGAAGAAGGCCUUCGGGUUGUAAAGCCCUUUUGUUGGGAAAGAAAAGCAGCAGGUUAAUACCCCGCUGUUCUGACGGUACCCAAAGAAUAAGCACCGGCUAACUUCGUG